rnacentral:misc_RNA from 1 species
GGACUACGAGGGUAUCUAAUCCUGUUCGCUCCCCCAGCUUUCGUGCCUCAGCGUCAGGUGUCGUCCAGGGCGCUGCCUACGCCGUCGGUGUUCCUCCGGAUCUCUACGCAUUUCACCGCUCCACCCGGAAUUCCACGCCCCUCUCCGACCCUCAAGCGAUGCCGUCUGGCGACCACCCUCCCAGGUAAGCCAGGAGAUUUCAUCUCGCCACGCGCACCGCCGCCUGCGCACCCUUUACGCCCAGUAACUCCGGACAACGCUCGCCUCCUACGUAUUACCGCGGCGGCUGACAC